UACAGAGGGUGCAAGCGUUGUUCGGAAUUAUUGGGCGUAAAGCGCGUGUAGGCGGCUCUGCAAGUCGGGUGUGAAAGCCCUCAGCUCAACUGAGGAAGUGCGCCCGAAACUGCAAGGCUUGAGUACCGGAGAGGAUGGUGGAAUUCCCGAAGUAGAGGUGAAAUUCGUAGAUAUCGGGAGGAACACCAGUGGCGAAGGGCUGCUUUCGUCGGCCCUUGUUCGUUGACGCAUGAGGCGG
rnacentral:rRNA from 1 species